rnacentral:sRNA from 1 species
UCUGCCGGUGCUGCUGCGCCCCGCGGAGCUCCGAACACGUGCGCAGAGGCCGGCUGUGGCAGAUGCAACUGCAGGAUGACUUGAAAGUAGGGCAUCCUUCACCCAUCUGAAGGGAGGAAAUAGUGGCAGGUGACAGUCUGCAUGUGCAGUUUUCAGAUGCCUUCACCUGAAUGACAUCUACCUCCAUCAGGACCCCAGAUGUCUGAUAGCCCUGUGUGACACCAAGAUAAGUAAUAAUCUGUUUGGCUGCUGACUACCCUAUUGGACAACUCCAAUAUUAGAGAACAUUUCCACCAAUUCAGAAAGUUUAUUAUGCACUGCUGUUCUAGAGCAGGGAUCAGCAAACUUGCUGUAAAGAGCCAGGAUCCCGUUGAAGAUACCACAUUACACUUAGGCUCCUGUUGGCCAUGACAGCUUCUUAGACUUGUUUUUAAUGACCUUGACAGUUUUGUUUUUUUGUUUGUUUGUUUUUAUUUGAGAUGGAAUCUCUGUCAUCCAGGCUGGAGUGCAAUGUAAUGGCUCAAUCUCAGCUCACUGCAACCUCUGCCUCCCGGGUUCAAAUGAUUCUCCUGCCUCAGCCUCCCCAGUAGCUGGGAUUACAGUCACGAGCCACCGCGCCCAGCCGCCUCCUAAAUUCUUAAAACAUUCCAUUUUUAUUCUGUGGUCUUAGUUUAUUCUGUCAUGUAGAGAAUAGUGGUUGAGCCUGUUGUCUUUUGAGAGUGGAUGCUGUAGUCCUUACAUGGCUGAUUUUCACCCCGUAAGCUUAUAGUAGAGGAUGGGGAUUUUGUUAUCAGCUGCUAAAAGGGAGAAGCCAAGCCCAGAACUAAGGGUUCUGAUGAGUUGAAGGAGAGGGAAGAUGCCCCUCAAGGCAAA